ACUGAUUUCUACACACUGUACAACUGUAAGGCUUCUCCCCAGUGGGUAUUCUUUAAUGUACUUUUAACUGACUUUUUGCUCCAAACUCUUUUCCACAUUCUGUACAGUUGUAAGGUUUCUCCCCAGUGUGUAUUUUUUCGUGUUGUUUUACGUAACUCUCUCU